UCUGGUCUCUAGAGCGAGGUGGAACCAACUCUCCCCAUCCCGAACAGAGUCUUGAAACGCCUUAGCGCUGACAAUAAUGCACGGGAAACUGUGUGUGAAGAUAAGUCGAGGCCAGAA
rnacentral:rRNA from 1 species